rnacentral:rRNA from 1 species
GAUGAACGCUGGCGGCGUGCCUAACACAUGCAAGUCGAACGGGCAUAUUCGGCGUUUUUUCGUCUGAGGGUAUCGGGGGGAGGGGGAGUGACACAUGGAUGAAACCCCUCUCUCACUUGGGUAACAUCGGUAGAAAGGAUGUCAUACCGGAUGAUAUCUUGCACCGCAGCAUUCAUUGGUUAGAGACGGUUUUGCCGUCUCUUGUAGAUGUGUCCGCGCCGGGUUUGCUAGUUGGUCAGGUUACGGCUUAGCAAGGGGACGAGGCGUGCCUGACCUGAGAGGGUGAGCGGCCACACUGGAACUGAGACACGGUCCAGACUCCUACGGGAGGCAGCAGUGGGGAAUAUUCCGCAAUGGGCGCAAGCCUGACAGAGCGACACCGCGUGAGUGAUGAAGGUCUUCGGGUCGUAAAACCCUGUUAUUAGGGAAGAACAGGUGUGGAAGUAUCUAGGGACGUUGUGACGGUACCGAAUCAGAAAGCCACGGCUAACUACGUG